UCGCCGUGGCACAUUGAUAUAUCACGUGAUGUAUCUGAUCCGGGGAGAUACUGUUGGCCGUUGCAUAUUUUCAAAUCAUUAGAACAGCCAAUUAAGUACCAACUUAAAAAGAACAAGUCCUGUGAAGGUUGCAUGUUCGCCUUGCUGGUGUUGUACUUCAAGAAGCUAAAUAAUGGUGAACUCGAGAAUUGUCAAGAACCUGAGUCGUGGUUUUCUGCAUGAACUGCCGAGGAGCUUAGCGCUAUGGCAGCAACUGUUCAACCUGAGGAUUGUAGCAACCUCAGCGGGAACAAUGGUGGGGUCGUGGAAGGUGC